rnacentral:lncRNA from 10 species
CAGAAACAUACCCAAAUGAUAAAGAAGUUUUAUACAAUUUAGAUGAGGAACCUAAGGCAUCAUUAGUUGGAGGUGCUUGCCUGAGCUCAGUGCCCAGCCCCCUCUCUGCCAGGUCCCGGGAACCUGAGUCCUCCUCUGCAAGGAACUCCCAGUCCAGCAGCGUCGCUUCUCUCACAGUGGUGAUGUCAUCCUUUCAGAUGAGAGUCAGGACCCUCAAGGAAUUGUGACAAUCAAGGUAGGUCAAAAUGGGAGAG